CGGACACAGACGACCUUAUGCCUCAGUGAGAAAGAGAGACAGAGAGAAUACUAGUGGGGCUGUCAUCGGCGAUGGUGAUCGGCGGGAGAGAACGAGAGAGAAAGCAAUUCGGUAUGACGACACAAGAAGAUGAUGACGUGACAAGCGUGUACGGAUUGUAUGGUAUGCAGAAUGGCAUGCGAGUGACAUCGAUGCCGGCAAACGAAAUAAAUUUCAUGCAGAGAUAACGCACUCUCUUCGAACACAAAAAAAAAAAAAAAACAUCGAGGAUGUCCUCCGAAUCGAUGCCAGGUGAUCGAGCCGUAUAUACCGGUAGCGGAAGCAUUCUCUCGCUCGUUCUCCGCGACCGGAUACCGUGGUGUGUCGAGUCCAAGCCGGCUAUGCGCGCCGUCGCCAAUAAUUCCGCUAUUUCGG